AGAGUUUGAUCAUGGCUCAGAACGAACGCUGGCGGCAGGCCUCAAACAUGCAAGUCUAGGGGGUGUAGCAAUACAUCACCGGCGGACGGGUGCGUAACACGUGGGAAUAUACCUCUUGGUUCGGAACAACGCAGGGAAACUUGCGCUAAUACCGAAUGUGCCCUUACGGGGAAAGAUUUAUCGCCAAAGGAUUAGCCCGCGUCCGAUUAGCUAGUUGGUGAGGUAAUGGCUCACCAAGGCUCCGAUCGGUAGCUGUUCUGAGAGGAAGAUCAGCCACACUGGGACUGAGACACGGCCCAGACUCCUACGGGAGGCAGCAGUUGGGAAUCUUGGACAAUGGGGGAAACCCUGAUCCAGCCAUGCCGCGUGAGUGAUGAAGGCCUUCGGGUUGUAAAACUCUUUCGACGGGGACGAUAAUGACGGUACCCGUAGAAGAAGCUCCGGCUAACUUCGUGCCAGCAGCCGCGGUAAUACGAAGGGGGCUAGCGUUGUUCGGAAUUACUGGGCGUAAAGCGCGCGCAGGUGGUCUUUCAAGUCAGUGGUGAAAGCCCGGAGCUCAACUCCGGAAAUGCCAUUGAAACUGUGAGACUUGAGGACGAGAGAGGUGAGUGGAAUUCCCAGUGUAGAGGUGAAAUUCGUAGAUAUUGGGAAGAACACCGGUGGCGAAGGCGGCUCACUGGCUCGUAUCUGACGCUCAGGCGCGACAGCGUGGGGAUCAAACAGGAUUAGAUACCCCCGUAGUCC
rnacentral:rRNA from 1 species